rnacentral:rRNA from 1 species
UACGGAGGGUGCGAGCGUUGUCCGGAAUCACUGGGCGUAAAGGGCGCGUAGGCGGCCUGAUAAGUAGGGGGUGAAAUCCUGCGGCUUAACCGCAGGGCUGCCUUCUAAACUGUCGGGCUUGAGCACAGUAGAGGCAGGUGGAAUUCCCGGUGUAGCGGUGGAAUGCGUAGAGAUCGGGAAGAACAUCAGUGGCGAAGGCGGCCUGCUGGGCUGUUGCUGACGCUGAGGCGCGAUAGCGUGGGGAGCAAACAGG